rnacentral:misc_RNA from 1 species
AAUGCACCUUGCGCUCCUUGGUAUUCCGAGGAGCAUGCCUGUUUGAGUGUCAUGGUAUUCUCAAUUCUCUCAGUGUUUGCUAGAAUGAUAUUGGACUUAGAGAUACUUGCUAGCGUUCUUCAGAAACCAGCUCCUCUUGAAUGCAUCAGUGUGAACAUUCGCUUCAUACUCAGUGUGAUAAUUAUCUAUGCUGUGUUUAAGCAAUAUAGCUUCAUGCUUCAAACUGUUGCAAGAUAAUGCUCUGACUUCUGACCUCAAAUCAGGUAGGACUACCCACUGAACUUAA